CAGUUCUGCUCCCGUUCGAUGCUUCCUUUCAUCUGUUCUUAAGGAUUAUGAUAACACUCUCUUUAGUGCAACUUCUGUUGUAAAUUCUUUGAUUUACUUCUCAUUUUAUGUCCAGGGAAAAGUUAAGUAUCUUGGCAGACCAGUAUUACCUUCCGGCUGUGAAGGAGAAGUUGGCCCAUGUGGGGCUGUUGGUGCAAUGGAUUCCUUAAACUUGGGCGGGUAUGGUGUAGAGCUUGCUUUGAAGAAUAUGGAGUAUAAGGCCAUGGAUGACAGUACCGUAAUGAAAGGAACGCAAACCUGACCUUACAUCAGAGAUAAUGGCAUUCAGGGAUUAUCUUUUGUCAUCAACAGUAUCAGACACACUUGAUGUUUGGGAACCGCAAGAUUUAGGCAUCAAACUGCAAAGAGAAUAGUACAGGCCUCUGAUCCUUUGCAGUCGAUGCAAGAAAUCAACCAAAAUUUUCCUAGUGUAGUGUCUUCUUUAUCUCGA